rnacentral:lncRNA from 1 species
UCGGACACACCAUUACGAUGUGGUGUUCCACGCGGGUUUAACUGUGAAACAAUUCCACAUUGUCUUAAGUCAGCACCAAACUCGUAACUCAGAUAUGCCAGGACCGGUUUUUCGGGGAUUUUAAUUUCCCUUCAAAAUGGCCCUUAUGCAUACCAGCCCCAGGCAUAUUGUUAGCUGGUGCACAAAUGCUUGAUACAAAUGUCCGAGAAAAAUUACAAACCUGAAGUACAAGACCGAUAUGGUCCUUAGGGUACAGCAAAAGGUUUCUAAAGGUUGAUGGCGGAAGCGGUUUGGGGAUCUCCAGCGUCUAUGGGACUCCAUUUCCCAUAGGAACAGCUCGCCUGGAUAAUUCCUAUCUCACACGGUUGUUGUCUUCGGUGCCUAGGUUCCGGGUUUAUCAUUGAGUUCCUCCUCUCCAAGCAUACAAUCUGGCCAAGACAAUAGCAUGGGACAAGCCACUGAGUACUUUGAAUGUACUUGCAAACAUCAUGAAACAAACAUAAAUUGGGAGGGUUAAUAUACACUUGUAAUGAUACCACAGUACUUCAUCAACCCUGAUGUACUUCUCAAGUACUAUAAAUGUGAAUAUAAUCUUACUGAGAAAUUAAUAAGCAAUCAUUAAGAGUAAAGUGAACGGAUAUGAUAUAAAACAUGCCUCCGUCGGGUGUUUGAGCGACACCACAUACAUGGCUUGAAUAAAAUAAUAACAAGCGUGCCACAGUCGGGUGUCUAAGCGACACCACAUAAAGGGCUUAUAUGAAAUAAUAAACAUGCCUCAGUCGAGCGUCUAAGAGACACCACAUAAAGGGCUUAUAUGAAAUGAUAAUGAAUAAAGAAUAUCUAGGAUGUAGAACCAUCCCAGGUAUAUUCAACAAUCAUAAUCAUAGGGUUAGUCCACAGAAAAGAAUGUUUAUAACCAUCCACCAUAAUUCUUGAUUAGUCUCACAAUUCUUUAACUACCUUCGAAGACCGACACUUGACUAGUCAACCAGUCGUCCUUUACCGUGGACACAGCUACUCGAAUAGUUUUGACUCUGCACAGGGUGUACUCUUUACCCAUAGCCCAUGGGUUUCAAUAGUCACUCAGACUAAUCAUGCGUACAGUAUCUUAGAAGUAAACAGUCAGAACCAUUACACACCCAUUCUUCUUCUGCGAAGACCGAUAUCUCUCGGACUACACUGUUGGAGAAGAACCAUAAGUCGGGAAGGCUCCAACCUCGAAUAGCAUGGGAUCAAAUUUAUACUGCAUGCUAAUAGGGGAGAGCUUUUCCCAUCUCGGUCCUAGACCGAAAACACCCAUGCCCCCCGACCGGAUGACUGGAUUUAGUCGAUGGUCGUGGAUACCUUCAUCCCGGCCCCUCUUCUUCGUGUGUACCUAGUAAUAGGUUUACGACCUACUGAACCAUAUCCCCUUUAUGGAAGAUGUGGCGGCACGGAUGGGUUAAGGUGAAAUACUGACCAGACUCGAUAUACGGUCGACAGAGGAGGUUUAAAUUAUUCCAUGCAUGAUUAGCAAAAUAAAAGGAUUUCACCACCGUAGACAGGGUCACUACCUAUCAUGCCCCUCAUGCCUCACUGACCAUACUCGUGCCACGAGAUGUCAGUCCCACAGUCGUAUCUCCCCGAGACACCGACUCUCUUCGGAUCCCAUCCGAGAGGCAUGUGUGGCACAAAGAUAUGACUUCUAUCUUAUCCAUCUCACUCAUGCAAUCAUCAUACAUUCGAACAUAAAGCCAUAUGCUUGAUCAUCACAUGAAAUACCGUCAAUAAUAACAUAAUCAUAGUGUUUGCUUUAACAAACAAAAACACACACAACCAACACAUGUCAAGUUUCAUGAUGCUUGCCUUCUAAGUGUAGAGAGGUAGGGUUUCACUUCAAAACUUUUGCAAGUUUUCUGCUCCUCUCAACAUAGCCUAUAUUUUGAAAAUAUACUAAUUAAAACCCAAUAAAAAACAUUACAGAAAAUUGUCUUAGCAAAUUUUCAAAUAAAUACAAAAAUAAAAUUGAUGAAAUUUCAAACAAGUGAGAAAAAGAAUCAAUCUAUUUGGAUUAUUAUAUUAGGAGUUAGAGCCGGUCAAAGUUGAGUCAACAUUCUAUUAAAAUCAAAUCUAAAAAACGUUUCUGCAGAAAAGGCGCAACCGCAAGGAGGAAACGUAGCUGGCUAAAGGCGCGUCCACCUAAGUGGCUUCGGCUCAGCUCUGACGCUGGCGAGGAGGGCCCACUAGCAGGCUUGACUGGGUCAAACCGGUCUUCUUCCUCCUCUGGCCGAGGGGAGAUGAGGCCUCCGGUGAGGUUCGCCAGUGACUGGGGCCAUCAACCUUGAAUUCGAGGGCAUCCUCGUGCUGAGGGUUCCAAGGCAACUCUGGGGAGAGGUGUCACGGCCUCCGGGGAGCGAGGGGGCUCCAGUGGCUACAGAGCCGGCGGACGGCGGCGCGGGCCAGCCAGGGGCUUCGUCCACGGUCUACCUCGAGCUCACCAGAGAGCGGGAAACGAUCACCACACUCAUGCAGUUCCAUUCCAAGGAAAAACGGCAACGGAGGGGCACGGCUGGCUGCGAAUUGGGUCGGAGGGGCAGCGGCCAAAGUUUGACCAGAGACAGAGAAGACGACAGCUCCGGUCGAAUUGGAGGAAAGGGAGGUUUGCUAUGGCUAUCAGAGAGCUUGUGUGAGCUACAAUGCAGCUCCACGGGCCUAUUUAUAGCUGCGGGACAUCAGUUCUACGAUGGCAGAGGAUAAGAUCAUCGGCAUCAUCCUCUGUGACCGCAGAG